rnacentral:rRNA from 1 species
AAUUGACCUCGGAUCAGGUAGGGAUACCCGCUGAACUUAAGCAUAUCAAUAAGCGGAGGAAAAGAAACCAACAGGGAUUGCCUUAGUAACGGCGAGUGAAGCGGCAACAGCUCAAAUUUGAAAUCUGGCCCUUUCGGGGUCCGAGUUGUAAUUUGUAGAGAGUGCUUCGGGCGAGACCGCGGUCUAAGUCCAUUGGAACAUGGCGUCAUGGAGGGUGAGAAUCCCGUAUGUGACCGUGGCUCGAGCCCGUGUGAAGCCUCUUCGACGAGUCGAGUUGUUUGGGAAUGCAGCUCAAAAUGGGUGGUAAAUUUCAUCUAAAGCUAAAUACUGGCUGGAGACCGAUAGCGCACAAGUAGAGUGAUCGAAAGAUGAAAAGCACUUUGGAAAGAGAGUCAAACAGUACGUGAAAUUGUUGAAAGGGAAGCGCUUGCAACCAGACCUGUCCGUAGGUGAUCAGCCGCUGUUCUCAGUGGUGCACUCGCUCUGCGAUCAGGCCAGCAUCGAUUCCGGCGGUCGGAUAAAGGCCUUGGGAAUGUAGCUUCCUUCGGGGAGUCUUAUAGCCCUCGGUGCAAUGCGGCCAGCCGGGAUCGAGGACCGCGCUUCGGCUAGGAUGCUGGCGUAAUGGUGGUAAGCGACCCGUCUUGAAACACGGACCAAGGAGUCUAACAUCUACGCGAGUGUUUGGGUGUUAAACCCAUGCGCGGAAUGAAAGUGAACGGAGGUGAGAACCCUGAAGGGCGCAUCAUCGACCGAUCCAGAUGUCUUCGGAUGGAUUUGAGUAUGAGCGUAGCUGUUGGGACCCGAAAGACAGUGAACUAUGCCUGAAUAGGGUGAAGCCAGAGGAAACUCUGGUGGAGGCUCGCAGCGGUUCUGACGUGCAAAUCGAUCGUCAAAUUUGGUAUAGGGGCGAAAGACUAAUC